UCCGGUGGACCCACCACAUUAUUGGGCUUUGAAAUCAUUACAGCCAUAACAAUUUAGGUAAAAAUACUUAACAGAUGUUUACUUUAACUCAAUUAACAAUGAUAUAUACAUCAUAUAUAGUUCAUAUUUGCCAUUUACCCCUGUGAGAUCUCAUUUAUGAUCAUAUGAUUAGGAAUUUUAAUUAU